UACGUAGGGGGCAAGCGUUGUCCGGAUUUAUUGGGCGUAAAGCGCACGCAGGCGGUCUGCCAAGUUCGGAGUGACAGUUUCCGGCUUAACCGGAAAAGGUCUUCGAAAACUGGUGGACUUGAGGACUUGAGGGGGAGACGGAAUUCCGGGUGGAGCGGUGAAAUGCGUAGAGAUCGGGAGGAACACCCGUGGCGAAGGCGGCCAACUGGGCCGGACCUGACGCUGAGGCGCGAAGGCGUGGGGAGCGAACGGG
rnacentral:rRNA from 1 species